GAUGAACGCUGGCGGCGUGCUUAACACAUGCAAGUCGAACGGUAACAUGAGUAGCAAUACUUGAUGACGAGUGGCGCACGGGUGCGUAACACGUAUGUAAUCUUCCCACAACUGGGGGAUAGCCCGGAGAAAUCCGGAUUAAUACCCCAUAACCCAGCGAGGUGGCAUCACCUUUCUGGUAAAUCUCCGGAGGUUGUGGAUGAACAUGCGUCCGAUUAGCUAGUUGGCGGGGUAACGGCCCACCAAGGCUACGAUCGGUAGGGGUACUGAGAGGUUAAACCCCCACACUGGUACUGAGAAACGGACCAGACUCCUACGGGAGGCAGCAGUAAGGAAUAUUGGACAAUGGAGGCAACUCUGAUCCAGCCAUGCCGCGUGAAGGAUGAAGGCGCUAUGCGUUGUAAACUUCUUUUGAACGGGAAAAAACCCCUUUACGUGUAAAGGGUUGAUUGUACCGUUAGAAUAAGGGUCGGCUAACUUCGUGCCAGCAGCCGCCGUAA
rnacentral:rRNA from 1 species